rnacentral:rRNA from 1 species
UGGGGAAUAUUGGGCAAUGGAGGCAACUCUGACCCAGCCAUGCCGCGUGGGUGACGAAGGUCUUCGGAUUGUAAAGCCCUUUCGGCGGGGACGAUGAUGACGGUACCCGCAGAAGAAGCCCCGGCUAACUUCGUGCCAGCAGCCGCGGUAAUACGAAGGGGGCUAGCGUUGUUCGGAAUUACUGGGCGUAAAGGGCGUGUAGGCGGCCCGCUAAGUCAGGUGUGAAAUCUCCCGGCUUAACUGGGAGGGUGCGCCGAAGACUGGGAAGCUGGAGUGUGGGAAAGGCAGGCGGAAUUCCUGGUGUAGCGGUGAAAUGCGUAGAUAUCAGGAGGAACACCGGCGGUGUAGACGGCUUGCUAGACCAUAACUGACGCUGAGGCACGAAAGCGUGGGUAGCAAACA